rnacentral:piRNA from 1 species
UAGGUUUGGAGACUGUUCUGGAAC